GAUGAAGAACGUAGCGAAAUGCGAUAAGUAAUGUGAAUUGCAGAAUUCAGUGAAUCAUCGAAUCUUUGAACGCACAUUGCGCCCGCCAGUAUUCUGGCGGGCAUGCCUGUUCGAGCGUCAUUUCAACCCUCAGGCCCCCAGUGCCUGGUGUUGGGGAUCGGCAGCAGGGCGUCAAGCCCGCCGGCCCCGAAAUCUAGUGGCGGUCUCGCUGUAGUCCUCCUCUGCGUAGUAGCACACCUCGCACUGGGAAACAGCGUGGCCACGCCGUAAAACCCCCCACUUCUGAAAGGUUGACCUCGGAUCAGGUAGGAAUACCCGCUGAACUUAAGCAUAUCAAUAAGCGGAGGA
rnacentral:misc_RNA from 1 species